rnacentral:lncRNA from 1 species
GAGCUGCCCUACUCAGCCUUCUCCUGGCCUGGGUGUGAUGUGAUCUCCCUUUGGUAGAACUCUGUCAAGCUGACCACUGAGUGUACUGGUGGGCUGGUCUGUCUUGUGGCUGGGACAAAGGACCGUCUGUACCUUGGAGAAGUUUGGCUGGGGCAGCCAAGAUCCAGGUGUGUGCAGCUGCCGGAAGGGGAGGCUCCCCAGUGCCCUCUAUGCCCUGGCUGCCUAGAGAUCCUCACUCCUGGACACUAGGAACCAAGACCCUAGGACUGAGCACAUGCUCUGUGCUGGCCUCUGAGGCUGCACCUCCUUAGUGCUGAUGCACUGAAGGGAAGGACAGGGGGAAGGGAAGGGGUAGGCAGGGGUGGCCAUGGCUGCUCCAGGCCCC